AGAGUUUGAUCCUGGCUCAGGAUGAACGCUAGCUACAGGCUUAACACAUGCAAGUCGAGGGGCAUCAUGAGGUCUGCUUGCAGACCUUGAUGGCGACCGGCGCACGGGUGAGUAACGCGUAUCCAACCUUCCCCAUAGUAGGGGAUAGCCCGGCGAAAGUCGGAUUAAUACUCUAUGUUGUAUUUUGAGGACAUCUGACGAAUACCAAAGAUUUAUCGCUAAGGGAUGGGGAUGCGUCUGAUUAGCUUGUCGGCGGGGUAACGGCCCACCGAGGCGACGAUCAGUAGGGGUUCUGAGAGGAAGGUCCCCCACAUUGGUACUGAGACACGGACCAAACUCCUACGGGAGGCAGCAGUGAGGAAUAUUGGUCAAUGGGCGUAGGCCUGAACCAGCCAAGUAGCGUGCAGGAAGACUGCCCUAUGGGUUGUAAACUGCUUUUAUGCGGGAAUAAAGUCAGGUACGUGUACCUGUUUGCAUGUACCGCAUGAAUAAGGACCGGCUAAUUCCGUGCCAGCAGCCGCGGUAAUACGGAAGGUCCGGGCGUUAUCCGGAUUUAUUGGGUUUAAAGGGAGCGCAGGCCGCCGAUUAAGCGUGUUGUGAAAUGUAGGGGCUCAACCUCUGAAUUGCAGCGCGAACUGGUCGGCUUGAGAUAGCGCGAGGUAGGCGGAAUUCGUGGUGUAGCGGUGAAAUGCUUAGAUAUCACGAAGAACCCCGAUUGCGAAGGCAGCUUACCAGAGCUAUUCUGACGCUAAAGCUCGAAGGUGCGGGUAUCGAACAGGAUUAGAUACCCUGGUAGUCCGCACGGUAAACGAUGGAUGCCCGCUGUUUGCGUCUAACGUAAGCGGCCAAGUGAAAACGUUAAGCAACCCACCUGGGGAGUACGCCGGCAACGGUNAAACUCAAAGGAAUUGACGGGGGCCCGCACAAGCGGAGGAACAUGUGGUUUAAUUCGAUGAUACGCGAGGAACCUUACCCGGGCUUGAAUUGCUGAGGAAAGAUCCAGAGAUGGUGAUCGUCUCGGGGCCUCAGUGAAGGUGCUGCAUGGUUGUCGUCAGCUCGUG
rnacentral:rRNA from 1 species